AAUGAACGUUGGCGGCGUGGAUUAGGCAUGCAAGUCGAGCGCUCAUAGCAAUAUGGGAGCGGCGAACGGCGUAGUAAUAUGUAGGAACGUACCCUCGGGUCGGGGAUAGCCAUGGGAAACUGUGGGUAAUACCCGAUAAUCUCUGCGGAGCAAAGGUGUGAUUCCGCCUGAGGAGCGGCCUACACGAUAUUAGCUAGUUGGUAGGGUAAUGGCCUACCAAGGCUACGAUGUCUAGGGGGUGUGAGAGCAUGGCCCCCACGACCGGAACUGAGAUACUGUCCGGACACCUACGGGUGGCUGCAGUCGAGAAUCUUCCGCAAUGGACGAAAGUCUGACGGAGCGACGCCGCGUGCGGGAUGAAGGCCCUUGGGUUGUAAACCGCUGUCAGAGGGGAUGAAAUCUUCGGGAGGUGCUCCUCCAAAGUUGACAGAGCCUCAAAGGAAGCACGGGCUAAGUACGUG
rnacentral:rRNA from 1 species